CCUACGGGAGGCAGCAGUGAGGAAUAUUGGUCAAUGGCCGGAAGGCUGAACCAGCCAAGCCGCGUGAAGGACGAAGGUGCCAAGCAUUGUAAACUUCUUUUGUCAAGGGACAAAAUCAGGCUCGAGAGCCUGACCGCGGGUACUUGAAGAAAAAGCAUCGGCUAACUCCGUGCCAGCAGCCGCGGUAAUACGGAGGAUGCGAGCGUUAUCCGGAUUUAUUGGGUUUAAAGGGUGCGUAGGCGGACUGUUAAGUCAGCGGUAAAAGCCCAGGGCUCAACCCCGGCGAGCCGUUGAAACUGGGUGUCUUGAGAUGUCGAGAGGUAUGCGGAAUUCGCAGUGUAGCGGUGAAAUGCUUAGAUAUUGCGCAGAACUCCGAUUGCGAAGGCAGCAUACCGGCGGCGAUCUGACGCUGAGGCACGAAAGCGUGGGUAUCGAACAGGAUUAGAUACCCUGGUAGUC
rnacentral:rRNA from 1 species